GACGAACGCUGGCGGCGUGCCUAAUACAUGCAAGUCGAACGAACCGCAACUUGAACUUGUUCUCGUUAAGGUUAGUGGCGCACGGGUGAGUAACACGUGGGGAACCUGCCCUUUAGUGGGGGAUAACAGUCGGAAACGACUGCUAAUACCGCAUAGACAAUUUAACCGCCUGGUUAAGUUGGGAAAGGUGCUACGGCAUCAUUAAAGGAUGGCCCCGCGGUGCAUUAGCUAGUUGGUAAGGUAACGGCUUACCAAGGCGAUGAUGCAUAGCCGACCUGAGAGGGUGAUCGGCCACAUUGGGACUGAGACACGGCCCAA
rnacentral:rRNA from 1 species